rnacentral:rRNA from 1 species
AUUGAACGCUGGCGGUAUGCUUAAGACAUGCAAGUCGUGCGGUAGGGGCUUCGGCCCUGAGAGCGGCGGACGGGUGAGUAACACGUGGGAAUCUGCCUAGUAGAGGGGGACAGCCCAGCGAAAGCUGGAUUAAUACCGCAUACGACCUGAGGGUGAAAGCGGGGGAUCGCAAGACCUCGCGCUAUUGGAGCGGCCGAUGUCAGAUUAGCUAGUUGGUGGGGUAAAGGCCUACCAAGGCAACGAUCUGUAGUUGGUCUGAGAGGACGACCAGCCACACUGGGACUGAGACACGGCCCAGACUCCUACGGGAGGCAGCAGUGGGGAAUUUUGGACAAUGGGCGCAAGCCUGAUCCAGCCAUGCCGCGUGAGUGAAGAAGGCC